rnacentral:tRNA from 1 species
GUUCUUGUAGUUAAAGUUAUAUAACAACGGCUUUUCAGGCCGUAGGUCCCGGAGAGAGGCCGGGCGGGAAUUU